AUGGAGGUGCGGAAGCUGCCGGGGAAGAAGAACCGGCGGCUGGUGCGCGCGCGGGUGCGGGUGGGCGCGCCGCUCCAGGCCGUCUGGGCCACGCUCACCGACUACGAGGGCCUCGCCGGAUUCAUCCCCGGCCUCUCCGAGUGCCGCCUCCUCCACCAGGACAAGGCCUUCGCCCGCCUCUACCAGGUUGAUGGUGCCACUGAUGAAGGUGCAGAAGUUUCAUCGGGGCAGGAAUUUCAGACCACGCUUUCGUAUGUGGUGGAGCUGGAGCCUAAGCUCUGGGUUCCGGUCCGGCUGCUGGAAGGGAGGAUCUGCAAGGAGAUCAAAACCAACCUUAUUUGUAUCCGAGAAGAAGCAGAGAGGAUCCAAAGGUUACUGGACGAGUGUCAUGUAUUUUCAGUGAUAACUAGGAUGAACCCUGAAGGCUUUCUUACAAUGCCGUUAUUGAUUAUAGUUCUGUGUAUGCUCCUUAACAGAGAGUGCCACAAGGGGGAGCUUGAGGUGCUCCUGGAGUCCCGGGAGCGCCGCCGGGAGAUCGCCUUCAACAUUGUCGACGGCGAUUUCAAGGUACUCGAGGGCAAAUGGUGUGUCCAGGAGGUCGAUGCUACUACUGACGAAGGCGGGGAAGUUCUGAUUGGCCAGGAAUUUCAGACUAGGCUUUCUUAUGUGGUGGAGCUGGAGCCUAAGCUCUGGGUUCCAGUCCGGCUACUGGAAGGAAGGAUUUGCGAAGAGAUCAAAACCAACCUUGUUUGUAUCAGAGAAGAAGCAGAGAGGGUCCAAAGAUCACUGAAGCAAACUGAGCUGUCGGUUUUCUUGUUCCAACAGUGA
rnacentral:rRNA from 1 species